GACGAACGCUGGCGGCGUGCUUAACACAUGCAAGUCGAACGGAAAGGCCCUGCUUUUGUGGGGUGCUCGAGUGGCGAACGGGUGAGUAACACGUGAGUAACCUGCCCUUGACUUUGGGAUAACUUCAGGAAACUGGGGCUAAUACCGGAUAGGAGCUCCUGCUGCAUGGUGGGGGUUGGAAAGUUUCGGCGGUUGGGGAUGGACUCGCGGCUUAUCAGCUUGUUGGUGGGGUAGGGCUUACCAAGGCUUUGACGGGUAGCCGGCCUGGGAGGGUGACCGGCCACAUUGGGACUGAGAUACGGCCCAGACUCCUACGGGAGGCAGCAGUGGGGAAUAUUGCACAAUGGGCGGAAGCCUGAUGCAGCAACGCCGCGUGCGGGAUGACGGCCUUCGGGUUGUAAACCGCUUUCGCCUGUGACGAAGCGUGAGUGACGGUAAUGGGUAAAGAAGCACCGGCUAACUACGUG
rnacentral:rRNA from 1 species